CCUACGGGAGGCUGCAGUAGGGAAUCUUCCACAAUGGGCGAAAGCCUGAUGGAGCAACGCAGCGUGCGUGAAGAAGGUCUUCGGAUCGUAAAACCGUGUUUUUAGAGAAGAAAGUGCGUGAGAGUAACUGUUCACGUUUCGACGGUAUCUAACCAGAAAGCCAAGUCUAAAUACGUGCCACCAGCCGCGGUAAUACGUAGGUGGCAAGCGUUAUCCGGUUUUAUUGGGAGUAAAGGGAACGCAGGCGGUCUUUUAAGUCUGAUGUGAAAGCCUUCGGCUUAACCGGAGUAGUGCAUUGGAAACUGGGAGACUUGAGUGCAGAAGAGGAGAGUGGAACUCCAUGUGUAGCGGUGAAAUGCGUAGAUAUAUGGAAGAACACCAGUGGCGAAAGCGGCUCUCUGGUCUGUAACUGACGCUGAGGUUCGAAGGCGUGGGUAGCAAACAGGAUUAGAUACCCGUGUAGUC
rnacentral:rRNA from 1 species